AUGCUAAUUUAGCAUUUUAAAGCAUUCUUGUCUGCUUUUCAUCUCUUAAAAAGAUGCAGAGCAGACAAGAAUACUUUAAAAUGCUAAACUAGCAUUUUUCAACU
rnacentral:miRNA from 1 species